CCUCCUCAACACCCCUGCCCCCACCCUUGGCAAGCACGAGUCUGUUGUCUGGGUCUCUGAGUCUGCUUCCAUUUUGUACAUAAGUUCAUUUAUGUUGUAUUUUAGAUUCCACAUCUAAGAAACAUCCUACGAUAUUUGGCUUUCACUUUCUGACUUCACUUUGUGUGACCAUCUCUCGGGCCAUCCAUGUUGCUGAAAAUGGUAGAUUAGAACUCCAGAAGCUCUACGGUGUCCACAUGGAAACGUGCAGAGAGGUGGAUCCUGGAGACACAGCAGCGCUGUGCUUACGUGUCAACCGCUGUCGGUGAGAAGUGAAGCCGUGCUGCAUUUAAACUGGAACAAAAGGACCGUUUUUAAGCGCACAUACUGUUUGGAGAUACCAAGGAAACAUUUCAUGCAAAGAUGGGCACAAUUAAGGACAGAAACAGCCCAUACUGUAGACGGCAACAAUAAUCUGAAAUUUAGUUUGUCUCCCAAUUAAAUUCUACCUAGACUUAUUAGUGGUCCAAAUUGAAUUUUAUUGUCCUGUAUAAUUGCUAAAGAUAGUUAAUCAGCAAUAAAGAUGCAAGUAUUUCUGGUU